rnacentral:rRNA from 1 species
UGGGGAUAUUGGACAAUGGGGGAGACCCUGAUCCAGCGACGCCGCGUGAGUGAAGAAGUAUUUCGGUAUGUAAAGCUCUAUCAGCAGGGAAGAAAGAAAUGACGGUACCUGAGUAAGAAGCCCCGGCUAACUACGUGCCAGCAGCCGCGGUAAUACGUAGGGGGCAAGCGUUAUCCGGAAUUACUGGGUGUAAAGGGAGCGUAGACGGUAAAGCAAGUCUGGAGUGAAAGGCUGGGGCCCAACCCCGGGACUGCUCUGGAAACUGUUAACUGGAGUGCAGGAGAGGCAGGCGGAAUUCCUAGUGUAGCGGUGAAAUGCGUAGAUAUUAGGAGGAACACCAGUGGCGAAGGCGGCCUGCUGGACUGUAACUGACGUUGAGGCUCGAAAGCGUGGGGAGCAAACAGGAUUAGAUACC